CAAUAGCGUAUAUUAAAGUUGUUGCAGUUAAAAAGCUCGUAGUUGAAUUUCUGCAUAGGGCUGUUGGUCCACCCCCUGGGUGAGUAUCUGACAUGUUCUGUGCAUGAGUCUUGAUGGCUAUAGGGCCUUCGCUGGUCGUAUAGUCGUCAGCUAUUUUACUUUGAGGAAAUUUGAGUGUUUCAAGCAGGCAUGUGCCUUGAAUAUAUUAGCAUGGAAUAAUGAAAUUGAGCUUUGGAUCUUUUUUAUUGGUUUCGAGAACCAUCGCAACGAUUGAUAGGGACAAUUGGGGGCAUUUGUAUUUAACUGUCAGAGGUGAAAUUCUUGGAUUUGUUAAAGACACACUAAUGCGAAAGCAUUUGCCAAGGAUGUUUUCUUUGA
rnacentral:rRNA from 1 species